rnacentral:rRNA from 2 species
UGGGGAAUAUUGCGCAAUGGGGGAAACCCUGACGCAGCAACGCCGCGUGAAGGAAGAAGGCCUUCGGGUUGUAAACUUUUGUCUUUGGUGAAGAUAAUGACGGUAGCCAGAGAGGAAGCCACGGCUAACUACGUGCCAGCAGCCGCGGUAAUACGUAGGUGGCGAGCGUUGUCCGGAAUUACUGGGUGUAAAGGGUGCGUAGGCGGGCAGGCAAGUUGGAUGUGAAAUACCGGGGCUUAACUCCGGGGCUGCAUCCAAAACUGCAGGUCUUGAGUGAAGUAGAGGCAAGCGGAAUUCCCAGUGUAGCGGUGAAAUGCGUAGAGAUUGGGAGGAACACCAGUGGCGAAGGCGGCUUGCUGGGCUUUAACUGACGCUGAGGCACGAAAGCAUGGGGAGCAAACAGG